rnacentral:rRNA from 1 species
GACGAACCGUGCGAACGUUGUUCGGAUUCACUGGGCUUAAAGGGCGCGUAGGCGGGUUGCCAAGUCAGGGGUGAAAUCUUUCGGCUCAACCGGAAAACGGCCCCUGAUACUGGCGACCUCGAGGGGGGUAGGGGCGGACGGAACUUCCGGUGGAGCGGUGAAAUGCGUAGAUAUCGGAAGGAACGCCGGUGGCGAAAGCGGUCCGCUGGACCCCUUCUGACGCUGAGGCGCGAAAGCCAGGGGAGCAAACGGGAUUAGAAACCCCUGUAGUCC